UGAAUUGGUAGGUGAUAUGUAUUUAAAUUGUUUAUUAAGGUGUUGGCGAAAUGGUUAAAAAUGUGCACAUGAAAGUAUAAUAGGUCAAAUGAAUUUUAUGUUUCUAUAUGUAUGAUUUAGUUGAUGGUGUGAUAUUUUAGCAUACUUGGAUAUUGAUGUUUGUGUGUCUCGUGUUAAUAUGAUAAUCGGCCAUAAGCAUGAUUAAAUGGUUCGGUCAUUGUUUGGCAUAGGUGAAACCUAUAUGAAUUUGUUACAUUCGGUCAUAAAAUGGAAUUAAAUAUGAAGGCUAAGUUUGAGUAGUUAAGGCCGAAUGGGUUAUAGAUUAAACAUAAACGGAUUUUAUGCAUAUGAGUAUGUAUGUAUUUGCGUGCACGGCAUUGAUGAUAAAUGGCAAUUGGUAAUGUGGUAAUGUUUAAUAAGUUGACAUUCGGAGUUAGCUAUAUGUCUUGGAGCCAUAGUGUAAUUUGAAAUAAUAAAAGUAUAUGAUAUUAAAGCAUGCAUUAUAUAUAUGCAUGUGUAUACGCGGUUGUGCAUAAAUAUGAGUAAAUGAUUAAAUUGUGAUAGUCAUAUAUAAGUAUAUAUAUGCCUUAUGUAUGUACCUUGUGCUUAUAGAGACAUUCAGGAAUAUGGUUAAAUUCAUGUAUAAGGAAGCAUGAUAAGCUAUGUGAAUCUUUGCUUGGUAUGUGAAUUAGAUAUAGAUUGUAUAAGCAUGAAAUCAAGUCAUGGCAUAUUUUAUAAAAUAUAAUACAUAUUGAAGUUAUAUAUGAUUGUCAAAUGUGACCAUUAAGAAAUAAAGUUGAGUAAGUUAUUAAACAAAUAUAUUUGUUUUAAUGAAGCUCAAGAGCAAAGAGGAUCAAAAUCAGAUAAGGGAAAAGAGAAAGUAAUAGAGUAGCCGUUCUGCAACCGUUCAAGUAUAUCCAAGGUAAGUUUUGAAUAGUCAUAUUUAGUACGUAAUUGAUAAUAUCUUGAUAUAUGUAUGAUAACUGUACUGAGAAAGAUGUUAAGUUUGAAUGGUCAAAAAAGUGCUAGAAAAGUUUCGACCAACUGAAAACCUAUUUGACUGAAGCUCUAGUGUUAGUGCAGCCUGAAUCCGGUAAAGAGUUUGUUAUUUACAGUGAUGCGUCCUUAAAUGGGCUUAGUUGUGUAUUGAUGUAAGAAGGUCGAGUUGUUGCUUAUGCUUCGAGGCAAUUGAAGACACAUGAGAAAAACUAUCCGACCCAUGAUCUCGAAUUAGCUACCAUUGUAUUUUCUUUGAAAAUAUGGCGACACUACUUGUUUGGAGAGAGGUGUCAUGUAUAUUCAGAUCACAAAAGCCUCAAAUAUUUGAUGACUCAAAGAGAUUUGAAUCUAAGACAAAGACGUUGGCUUGAAUUGUUGAAAGAUUAUGAGCUUGUCAUUGACUAUCACCCGGGAAAGGCUAACGUGGUUGCCGAUGCUUUAAGUCGCAAGUCACUGUUUGCUUUGCGAACAUUGAAUGUACACUUGUCCGUUUCAUCCGAUAAUGUGUUAGUAGCAAAAUUAAAAGCCAAACCGUUAUUGAUUCAUCAAAUAUGUGAAACUUAGAAAGUCAAUGAUGAAUUGAUUGCUAAACGAGCUGAAUGUAUUUCGAAUGUGGAUUCAGAAUUUCAAAUUGAUGACAAUGAUUGUUUGAGGUUCAAAAGUCGAUUGUGUGUUCCAAGAAAUUCGGAACUUAUUUUGAUAAUUUUGAGCGAGGAUCAUAAUAGCCAAAUGUCGGUUCAUCCUGGUAGCACGAAAAUGUACAAUGAUCUAAAACGUCAGUAUUGGUGGCAUGGUGUGAAACGUGAUAUAUCUGACUUUGUAUCGAAGUGUAUAAUUUGUCAACAAGUGAAAUCAGAACAUCAAGUGCCUUCAGGGUUACUUCAACCGAUCAUGAUACCUGAGUGGAAGUGGGAUCGAGUUACGAUGAAUUUUGUGUCUGGGUUACCUUUGUCACCGAGCAAGAAAGAUGCGAUAUGGGUUGUUGUGGAUGGAUUGACUAAAUCAGCUCAUUUCAUUCCCGUACGUACAGAUUUCUCACUUGAUAAGUUAGCCGAGUUGUAUGUCUCUCAGAUUGUCAGAUUACACGGGGUUCCUGUUUCUAUUGUGUUGGAUAGAGAUCUGAGAUUUACAUCGCGAUUUUGGAAGAAAUUGCAAGAAGCAUUGGGUACCAAGUUGCAUUUUAGCACCGCUUUUCAUCCCCAGACCGAUGGUCAAUCCAAGCAGAUAAUUCAGAUACUCGAGGAUAUGUUGAGAUGUUGCAUCCUUGAGUUUAGUGGUUCAUGGGAACGGUAUUUUCCUUUGAUUGAAUUCACUUACAACAAUAGUUUUCAAUCAAGCAUUAAGAUGGCACCUUACGAGGCUUUGUACGGUCGUAAAUGCCGUACACCAUUGUUUUGGACCGAACUCAGUGAAAGUAAAAUCUUCGGGGUUGAUUUGAUUAAAGAUGCUGAACAGAAAGUAAAAGUGAUCUGUGAAAGUCUAAAAGCAGCUUCAGAUCGUCAAAAGUCAUAUGCGGAUUUAAAAUGAAAAGACAUUGAGUAUCAGGUCGGAGACAAAGUAUAUCUUAAAGUUUCACCUUGGAAAAAGGUGCUCAGAUUUGGUCGUAAGGGAAAAUUGAGUCCGAGGUUCAUCGGGCCGUAUGAGAUAUUCAAACGAAUUGGGCCGGUAGCAUACAGAUUGAUUUUGCCCCCUGAACUUGAAAAGUUUCACAAUUUUUUUCAUGUUUCGAUGUUUCGACGUUAUAUAUCUGAUCCAUCACAUGUUAUUAGUCCAUCAGAGGUUGAGAUUCGAUCUGAUUUGAGUUACGAAGAAGAACUGGUUCGUAUUUUGGCUCGUGAAAUAAAGGAACUACGAAAUAAGAAAAUCUCAUUAGUGAAAGUACUCUGGCUCAAACACAGGGUUGAAGAAGCGACUUGGGAACCAAAAGACUCAAUGAAAGAACAUUAUCCUAACUUAUUCACCGGUAAGAAUUUUCAGGGACGAAAAUUUCUUUGGAGGGGAGAGUUGUGACUGCCCUAAUUUGACCCUAGUCGAAAAGUGGUAUCGGAACCACAAAACAUAGUCAUUAAAUAAUUAACCGUUAUAUUUUAUGCUUAUUAUAUGUGUAAAUGCAUGUGUGAAAGUUUCGUGCUUUGCUUUUGUCAAAUGUAUGUGAAAUUUAGUAAAUAGGAUUUAUGUGAGACACUUUGAAAUGUGAUAGGUUAAUUUAAAAUGGUCUACUAAUGCAUGAUAUAAAAAAAUGGACUUGCAUGUCAAAUUAUCCAUUUUUUUAUAGUGGCCGGCCAUGUUGUUGAUUAAUAUAUUAUAUAUAUUUUCCAUUAACAUUAUUUUCAACUAAAUAAAUUAAAGAAUGAAUAAAUGAAUAAAGGGUAAUAAAAUAAUGGGUUAGUGGGAGGAGAAACCAAAAUUUGGUUCAUCUUUGUUCCUCCAUUGCCGUAGCUAGAAGUGAGGAAGAAGAAAAUUCUUGUUAAAAUUUCGGCUAAGGAGAUUGCUAGAAUAAGGUAUGUACAAUGCCACUCUUGGAAAUUUAUGCAUAAUUUGGAUGGUUAAUUUGAAUUCUACCUAUUUCGUGGUUCGAAUUUUUGUUAUUUGGGAGGAUUGAAAUUCGGCCAAGGAGUUUGAAAUUCUUAGUAGAUGUUUUGAUGUCAUUAGUAUGUUUGAAGUGUUUUGAAAGAAAUUACUUGUGUAUUUUAGGAUAGUUUCUUAGUUCCUCCACAACCCAUGUGCAAAUUUUCAUUUUGGUAGCUAUGGGAUCAAUCAGCCAUGAGAGGAUUUUUCAUUUAGAAAUGAUACUUUGACGUUUUGUUUUGAAUUAAUAAAAGUACUCCAUUCAGUUGAAAUUAUAAAAGUAUGUUAUGUUUAAAAAAAUAAAAUUUUGUGUAUCUAAUUUGUAAUGGCCGAAUGGAUUAUAUAAAGUGAUUUGAGAUUUUGGAUGCCUUGUUUUGUGACAUUCGACUAUGAUAAAAGAAACGAUUGUAUCAGGGAUUUUAGAGAUGUGAAUUGGUAGGUGAUAUGUAUUUAAAUUGUUUAUUAAGGUGUUGGCUAUAUGGUUAAAAAUGUGCACAUGAAAGUAUAAUAGGUCAAAUGAAUUUUAUGUUUCUAUAUGUAUGAUUUAGUUGAUGGUGUGAUAUUUUAGCAUACUUGGAUAUUGAUGUUUGUGUGUCUCGUGUUAAUAUGAUAAUUGGCCAUAAGCAUGAUUAAAUGGUUCGGUCAUUGUUUGGCAUAGGUGAAACCUAUAUGAAUUUGUUACAUUCGGUC
rnacentral:lncRNA from 1 species